rnacentral:rRNA from 1 species
UACGUAGGUCGCAAGCGUUAUCCGGAAUUAUUGGGCGUAAAGAGCUCGUAGGCGGUUUGUCGCGUCUGCCGUGAAAGUCCGGGGCUCAACUCCGGAUCUGCGGUGGGUACGGGCAGACUAGAGUGAUGUAGGGGAGACUGGAAUUCCUGGUGUAGCGGUGAAAUGCGCAGAUAUCAGGAGGAACACCGGUGGCGAAGGCGGGUCUCUGGGCCGAUACUGACGCUGAGGAGCGAAAGCGUGGGGAGCGAACAGG